rnacentral:rRNA from 1 species
AACGAACGCUGGCGGCAGGCUUAACACAUGCAAGUCGAGCGCCCCGCAAGGGGAGCGGCAGACGGGUGAGUAACGCGUGGGAAUCUACCCAUCACCACGGAACAACUCCGGGAAACUGGAGCUAAUACCGUAUACGUCCUUCGGGAGAAAGAUUUAUCGGUGAUGGAUGAGCCCGCGUUGGAUUAGCUAGUUGGUGGGGUAAUGGCCUACCAAGGCGACGAUCCAUAGCUGGUCUGAGAGGAUGAUCAGCCACAUUGGGACUGAGACACGGCCCAAACUCCUACGGGAGGCAGCAGUGGGGAAUAUUGGACAAUGGGCGAAAGCCUUAUCCAGCCAUGCCGCGUGAGUGAUGAAGGCCCUAGGGUUGUAAAGCUCUUUCACCGGCGAAGAUAAUGACGGUAACCGGAGAAGAAGCCCCGGCUAACUUCGUGCCAGCAGCCGCAGUAAUAC